rnacentral:lncRNA from 7 species
GAGCUGAUUCGUUUCAGCCCCUCUGUCAGAGCCCGCUGCCUCCGCACCCCGCGCUGCGGAGCUCCCGCCUCCUCCCCCCGCAUCCCUCCGCGGCUGUGCCGGUGCUGGGCGUGGGUCGGGCAGGUGGGGAGAGUCGGUCAGAUCCUCUUACAAAAUAAAAUCAAAUGAUAUAAAAUAAUGCAAAAUAAUUCGAGUCAGGGGGAGGACGGCUCGCUGCGAGCCUCGGACCGCCGGCAAAGAGCGGCUGCACGGGGCCGACGGCACCGCGCUCGGUACGGGGGGACCGAAGCCGCAGCCGGCAGUGUUCUGUUGGUCCGUUCCUUUUUACGCCCUCUGGUCUGGGAUCUCGCCUAUAGUCCGUUGAGACCCUGACAAAAGAGGCUGUAGAGAGAUGGAGAUGCGAGAUAAACCCAUCGGGCAAUCUCAUUACGUGGCAACGAGCGAAGAGCCCUCCUCGCAAUCGACUCGAGAUAACGAGGCUGCCUGGAGGAACGAGCGAAGCCCGGAUAUUUACUUCUUUUCCUAUUAAAUAAACCUCAAUAACU